ensembl:lncRNA
GGGCGCCGCCUCGCCCUUCCCGCAAGCUCGUCUCAGUUUCCGCCCUCCUCCCGCUGUCCCCCGGGGCAGCGUCGUUCGCCACGAUCGGAUCACACUCCGGGCCGCGCCUUCCUGCGCUCCCAGCCUCACAUCCAAGCGUCAGGGGCCCGUCGACGCGCGCAAGCUUCCCAGGGGGCAACAGGAGGCAGCACCGCCUGCCCAACAGCGCAUGCCCUCCACAACGUCUUCCUCCAUUCUCUACGCGGCUCCUAGGGAUUAGCAGGACCCUGAACCAAUCACGGCCCUCGCUUGGAUUCCGUCAGCCCCUUUCUCCAUGGCCUCCAAGGACCACCUGACGCUGCUGCUCGGAGGCAAUGCCGCUGGGGACUUUAAGCUGAAGCCUCUGCUGGUCUACCCCUCGGAGAACCCACGCGCCCUCAGGGGCUGCUGCAAGGCCAGCCUGCCUGUGGUCUGGCGCUCCAACCGCAAUGACUGGGUGACACCCAGCAUCUUCCAGGAGUGGUUUACAGGCUGCUUCUGCCCAGCCGUGGAGAGCUACUGUGCCAGCCAUGGCCUCCCGCACCGCGCCCUGCUGCUACUGGACAGCGCGCCCUGCCACCCCGCCCACUUGGUGGGCCUCUCAGCCCAUGUGCGUGUGGAGUUCCUGCCGAAGAACACAUCCGCCCUGAUCCAGCCCAUGAACCAGGGCAUCAUCGCCACCUUCAAGGCCCAUUAUCUGCGCCGCACGCUCGGGCAGCUGGUCCAGGAGACGGCUGGUGCAGACCCGCCCUCUGUGAGGGUGUUCUGGUGCCGCUACACAGUCGUGACUGCCGUGGACAACAUCGCCGAGGCCUGAGCAGACCUGCAGCCUGCCACCAUGAAUAGCGCCUGGCGGAAGCUCUGGCCCGAGUGCGUGCCUGCUGGUGCCCCCGAGCCCGGCACCGCACCCAAGCUCUACCGCAGCAUUGUGGUGCUAGCCAGUCAUGCAGGCCUUGGGGACGUGGCCAAGGCCGAUGUCCAUCUGCUGCAGGCCCAGGUGGAGACCUCAGCCCAGAGUGCCCUCCAGGAUGUGGAGGAUGGGGACGUCCGUGGCUCGGGACUGUCCUGGGAGGCAGGGAAAGGCCUGGCCUCCAGGAGACCAGAGUCAGGUCUCACGGAGGCCGCGGUGGGUAUGGAGACCAGAGGAGCCGCUGUGGGUGCACUGAGCCCUGAGCACCUGGCCCAGGCCCUGUCCCACUUUGCUGCCGGACUGAGGGUCCUCAUGGAGAACGACCCCAACCGCGAACGCAGCCUGCAGGUGUCCCGGCGUGUCCACUGUGUCCUCGCCUGCCUCCGGGAGCUGCACUGGGAGAGGAGGCGACAGGCUCGGGCAGCUGCAUCCUCAAGGGUCCCCACAAUGGUGGCAACAAGGGAGUUAGCAGGGAGCCUGCUCUCGCCUCAGGUGGUCCCACAGAGGGUGGGCAAGUGGCUCAGGGCACAGACCCUGAAGGACAGACCUCUUUGGCUGUUCCGUGUGAUUUGGGGCUUGGGCCCAACCUCUCAUGAGCUUUGUCGGAUGCCGUUUUGUUUCUGGAGGGUGGACACUGCCAUUUCUCCCUGACGGCUCUCAUACGUCUUGCACUGCCACCUUUGAUCCAGUGACACAUAGAGCACCGAGCUUGGGGAACAAAAAGGUGGUGAUCUCUGAUUGGCAGAUAAGCUGUGGGCCCCAAAACUGCCCAUCAUGUCAGAGAUGCACCCUGUAGCACCGUAGCUGCCAAACACAUCCCACCAGGUGGUGAGGGGCCAGACUGAGGCACGUCUCUCCUAUUUGCCAACCUGAUGUUUCCCUGGGCCACUGGGACCCUUCCUAGCCAACUCUGGAUGAGGGUUCCCUACUCUCCUUCCUCCCUUUCUGUGUCGUCCUCUGCCCUUCUGGCUUCCGUGGCCUCUGCUGUCCCAGGUCUCCGGUACCCUCCCCGGGCGUGUGUGGGUUUUGAUACCAGGGCCCAUCCCUUGCUUUGGAGAUGUUUCCUUCGCUGGGUUUCUGGGCCAUGGUUGUCUUGGCUUCCCUCCAGCCUCCGAGGCUGAGGCUUUUGUCACUUUGAUGCCCUCCCAGGUCUAGUGCUCUUGGGAAAAUCUCAGCAACUCUUGAGGGCUCAGUGGCCACCUCAGGGUCACUUCCCAGCACACUGGCUGCAGCCCAGCCUUCGCCUGGGUAACCUAUAGCUCUGAUUCUGAUGGACUGACCUGGACCGUCUUAGCAUCUUCCCUCGUUCCAGCUUGUUCUGUUUCCCAGACUGUAGCAAGCACCCUGAGGUGUGUGCUGGAGUCUGCAGACACACCGUAUGGGCCACCAAACCACAGGGAGUCAGCAAGGGAAGGUGGUGGUGGUGGUUUUUUUGGCUGCAUCAGUGGCAAGCAAAAGUUCUUGGUCCAGGGACUGAACCAGGGAACUCCUAGGAUGUUCCUGUGUCCCAUCUAGACCCCCCUUCUGCCUGGUAUGCCAGGAAUAAAGUUGGGAGGAAGGAUUUCUGCCAUCUGUCCCACCUAACACUUGUAGUGAUGUGCCUGCUGUCAACACAUAAUGGGUUGGAGGCUGGGGAGGGGCCGGAGGGUCCAGCCUUACAGGGAGACAGGUCAGAUGACGCCCCUUGCUAGCUUUCCUGGUAAGACUGGCAUAGGGGAUGGCAAGGGGAAGGGAAGGAGCUUUUCUUAGGAGCCUGGUGACUGAAUGGAUUAAUAAAUUGCACAAAUUAUGAGAACUUGUAAUGUGCUAGGUGUUGGGAGACCAUGGUGGGAGAGACUGCCUUCUAGAAUUGCCAGUCCAGGGAGUUCCCAGUGUGGUGCAGCAGAAACGAAAUCUGAAUAGGAACCAUGAGGUUGCAGGUUCUAUCUGUGGCCUUGCUCAGUGAGUUAAGGAUCUGGUGUUGCCAUGAGCUGUGGUAGAGGUCGCAGACUCGGCUCGGAUCUGGCGUUGCUGUGGCUCUGGCAUAGGGGCAGCAGCUGUAGCUCCGAUUGGACCCCUAGCCUGGGAACCUCCAUAUGCCGCGGGUGUGGCCCUUAAAAAAAAAAAAAAAAAAAAAAAA